GAUGAACGCUGGCGGCGUGCCUAAUACAUGCAAGUCGAGCGAAUGGAUUAAGAGCUUGCUCUUAUGAAGUUAGCGGCGGACGGGUGAGUAACACGUGGGUAACCUGCCCAUAAGACUGGGAUAACUCCGGGAAACCGGGGCUAAUACCGGAUAACAUUUUGAACCGCAUGGUUCGAAAUUGAAAGACGGCUUCGGCUGUCACUUAUGGAUGGACACGCGUCGCAUUAGCUAGUUGGUGAGGUAACGGCUCACCAAGGCAACGAUGCGUAGCCCACCUCAGAGGGUGAUCGGCCACACUGGGACUGAGACACGGCCCAGACUCCUACGGGAGGCAGCAGUAGGGAAUCUUCCGCAAUGGACGAAAGUCUGACGGAGCAACGCCGCGUGAGUGAUGAAGGCUUUCGGGUCGUAAAGCUCUGUUGUUAGGGAAGAACAAGUGCUAGUUGAAUAAGCUGGCACCUUGACGGUACCUAACCAGAAAGCCACGGCUAACUACGUGCCAGCAGCCGCAGUAA
rnacentral:rRNA from 1 species